UGCGCACCCGAAAUCACUCCUAUUUGCAGCGAAGUCACACAGAAGGUCCACAGUGGUAACAUGGAAUUGAUACUCUAGAUGUCACUUUUAGUUAUUACUGUUGUUUGGAAGAUUGUCGUCUGCUAAUUAAUGUUGGAGCAACAUUUGAAAAAAGCUUGAAAAUUCAAGAUGUUUGUUUGGUGCUGAGAUUUAAAUGAUGAUGCUUUACGAUGUUUAAAGAUUCCUCUUCUAAAGAUAAAUCAAGUUGGGAGAGAAUUGGUUGUGGUAAUAACUUAAUCGUCCUGCGCAUAGAUAACUAUCCAAGAGAAAUGUUUGUGAUGUCGUCAACUUGCAGGAGUUGUCAACAGUUCCACAAUAAGAUGUUUUUUUUGGAAGGAGACCUGUCAUGUUUUUUCACAGAAAACUGACUACUAACUCCACAGAUUGGAAAAAAAAAGACCAAAGCAAGAUGACCUUUGACAUUGAAAUACAGAGAAGCAAAUGGUUUAAUUUACAGAAAUUAAGAAGUAAACUUUUGGUACAAAAUUAAAAUAUUUUAGGCUUGAUUUAAAGAUACACUCCCACUUGAAGAUACAUUCCCACUUGAAGAUUAUAGGUUAAGUUAAUGUUAAUCUGGUGUUCAUGACUUGGUGCUUUAAGUUUCUGUUAUCCUAACAGACGGCAGGAGAACUCACACAGUUUUUGUGGGAAGGCAUCUUUAAUCUGGCGUUCAUGACUAUGUGUUAAGUUUCUAUCACAACUGUUGUCAAUAGAAUUCAAA